rnacentral:rRNA from 1 species
CUACGGGUGGCAGCAGUGGGGAAUAUUGGACAAUGGGCGAAAGCCUGAUCCAGCCAUGCCGCGUGUGUGAAGAAGGCCUUCGGGUUGUAAAGCACUUUCAGUGGGGAAGAAAGCCUUGGGGCUAAUACCCUCGAGGAAGGACAUCACCCACAGAAGAAGCACCGGCUAACUCCGUGCCAGCAGCCGCGGUAAUACGGAGGGUGCGAGCGUUAAUCGGAAUUACUGGGCGUAAAGCGCGCGUAGGCGGUCUGAUAAGCCGGUUGUGAAAGCCCCGGGCUCAACCUGGGAACGGCAUCCGGAACUGUCAGGCUAGAGUGCAGGAGAGGAAGGUAGAAUUCCCGGUGUAGCGGUGAAAUGCGUAGAGAUCGGGAGGAAUACCAGUGGCGAAGGCGGCCUUCUGGACUGACACUGACGCUGAGGUGCGAAAGCGUGGGUAGCAAACAGGAUUAGAUACCCUAGAUC